AAAAAAUAUUAAAGUGAGUAAUUUUAUUUUUUACGUUCGCUGCCGUGCUUUUUAAAACACAUAUUUCUUGUGUUCUCCGCUUUUUGGCUUGGCACCUAACUGAUUGAUCAACUAUUUUCUAUUUGAUAGUAAUGUUAAUCACUAACAACCCACUCUAUCACAUAAUUCUUCUUUCUCUCUCUUUCUUCUUCUUCUUCUUCUUCUUCUUCUUGUUUUUUUGUAGUAACAUGGGUGCUUGAAGUUGAUAACGCGGUUAGACUGUUCGACAAAAUGUCUAAAUGAAAAGUUUGCUUUGUUUCCAAUUUGAUUGAAAUAUGGAUAAUGAUGGAGAGCAACAUUCAGGAAAAAGUUCAUGAAGUUGAGGAAUUUUUUGAUGGCCAUUUGAAACCACAGCUUGUUCGCGCUAUUGCUGAACGGGACAAGGUUUUUGAGCAACAAAAGAUGUUCUCAGAUUUGCGUAGGAACAUAGAGAACUUAGAGAAGAACAGCGUACGAUGGUCAACCUUGGCUCCGUAUUGUACAUGCAAGCUGAUGUGCCAGAUACCCACCGCAUAUUUGUGGGUGUUGGACUUGGAUUCCAUGUGGAGUUUACCUGGCAAGGAAUGCUGUAAAAGCCAUGUGGCAAUGACGGAAUACCCAGGAGUCACAGAACCAUGUGGGCAGGAGCUGAAUCUUUUAAAAUGGUCUGUGGAAAAUAUUUCUUAGACAAAAGUUAGACACCUGGUUUUCAACCAUUUUUCAUUGCGAAACAAACAUUGAAAAAUAAGUCAAAAGUAAAAUUCAAUCAACUUCCAAAUACUGUCAAUUUAAAAAUAUUUUAAUUUUCAUAAUUUUUAGUAUUAUCGAUUCAUAAUAUCCACCAACAUUAUAAUUUAACCACCAUCACUUCCGUCACUAGCUAUCAUGGUCAUCACCAUUAUCAAUGCCAUUAACUACCGUCAAUUUAUCAUUAUUUUUACUAUUAUCAUUAUUAUUUUAAUAUUGUUAUUAUCACAAUAAUAAUCACCAUAUCAUUUACUAUUAUUAUCACUAUAAUUAUUACUUUCAUAACAAUUAUCUUUUUAUACAACUAUCGUUAUAGUUAUUGUAUCGCCACCAUUGUCACUAUUAUAAAUAUUAUUAUUAUUAUAAUCACUACACUACCAUCAUUAUUAAUUUUACUAACAACAUAAUUUUUUUAUGUUAUUAUCAAUUAUUUAUUUUCUUAAUACAUCCAAAAUUAAUCAAUCUUCAAAAAAAUAUUUUUGAUGGAAAAACAUUUUUCGCAAAGCAAAUGUACCUUAACAGCGACUCGUAAGCUUGCUAGCACCCCUGGGCAAAGAUCAUCUGCCACCACCUCCCAUACCGCACCAACCUAGUGAUGGCCUAUGGCCUGUGGGCUAGCAGUGCACAGGCAGCAAAAUUAAGCCCAUCUGUAUUGCUAAACUCAGGAGUCAGAACCUUUAUCCUACUACUAGCUAACAGGGUUUGUUUGUUAGGAUGGAGGCCAGUGGGAGAAAAGAUGCCUCACCGUGAAAAGAAGUAACUCUGGGAUUGGACAGCACGGAGGAGAUGAAUUCACUCGUAACCAUCACCAAACAGCUGAUGCCAACAGCGCUAUAUUUCAUGCAUUGGGCAACGGUGGGUUCUGGGAUGAUUUAACCCAUCGGGUCAUUAACAGUGCGGUAUAAUGGAAAGCAACAAGCGCAUCGCUAUCAUUUUAAGAACUUUGAUUGGACUGAACUGAUGGGAUGGGACCGAUAAAUGCAAGAAAACAACUUCUUGUUUUAUAGGCUGUUUUUACUACUGUUUAUGUUAUUAAUACUCUCCACGGCCGUGGCUGUGAAUGUGCUGUGUUUGUGUAGCAGCAGAGCUGAAUUAAAGGUUUGCUUUCGCCGACAAAAGGAAUCAAUUCACGGCCACUUCAGAUAUAUUAAGGACA